GGGGAUGUUGGGCUUCGACAGAAUACCAACCAAUAUAUGUGCAGGCGGAGCUUGUUACCUCCUAAAUCUGACAACCAAAUAAUAACUGACAACCAAAGAGUUGCAGUCCCUGCAUUUGCUUUCGCAGCAUAACAGGGCACUCACCUAAUUUAUUGGUGGGCAUCAGCACCUAAUGUCUCAUAGGGAUCUGCUGGUGUUAUAUAUGAGGCGCGCGCAUGUUCGUUUUGAAUCUUUCAAAUAUGUUGCGCUAAUAAAAGAUUCACCAUUGUGUUUUUUACACUAAGCUUGUAGAUCAUAUAUAGGAAAUAUUUUGGACACCGGUUCAACUCCGGUCAUCUCCACAA
rnacentral:tmRNA from 1 species